AAAACAGUUCCAUCUGUGAGUUUUCCCCGAUAGUGUACUUUGAUUCUAUCUCCCUUAUGGGCCUGGAUUUCACAAGAUUCAGGCUUAUGCUUCACGCCGAUCUGUAACUCAGUCACAUCCCCUGACUUCUUCGCCGAAGCCAAGGCAAACAGCAACAGCAAGAGGAAAAUCGAGGCCGCCUUCGACGCGCAGCUCACAUUCAUUUUUGCAGAGAUCCUGUGUCCGUCGGCUAGAGAGAUGAUCGAAGAAGGUUAGCG
rnacentral:misc_RNA from 1 species